rnacentral:rRNA from 1 species
UACAGAGGGUGCGAGCGUUGUCCGGAAUCACUGGGCGUAAAGGGUGCGUAGGCGGCCGCGCAAGUCUGGCGUGAAAGCCCCGGGCUCAGCCCGGGAAGGGCGCUCGAAACGGCGCGGCUCGAGUGCCGGAGGGGAGAGUGGAAUUCCUGGUGUAGCGGUGAAAUGCGUAGAUAUCAGGAGGAAUACCGGUGGCGAAAGCGACUCUCUGGACGGCAACUGACGCUGAGGCACGAAAGCGUGGGGAGCAAACAGG